rnacentral:lncRNA from 1 species
CCCACGUGUUCCAUCCAGAGCCCUUUAUUGCAAACCCCGCCCCCCUCCCUCCAUCCCGGCUUCUGAUUGGCCGAGGGGAGGGGGUGGCUCAGCUCCCAUUGGUCAGUGAUGGGGGGUGGGUGGGGUCAGGGCUCUCCGUGGGGCAGCCCCGGCUCAAGUCCGUCUGUGGGGCUGGAUGUGGGUCCGUCCGUGGGUCCGUCCGUGGGUCGGUCUAUGGGUCACGGGGGCGAGUGGGGGCCCUCCCCCCCCCCCCUCACUCCUCGCCGUGGGUCGGUCCGUGGGUCCAUCCGUGGGUCCAUGGGUCAAUCUAUGGGUCAAUCUAUGGGUCCAUCUAUGGGUCAGUCUAUGGGUCUGUGGGUCCAUCUAUGGGUCAAGCCCAUGGGUCCAUCCAUGGGUCAGUCUAUGGGUCAGUCUAUGGGUCAAGUCCAUGAGUCCAUCCGUGGAUCCAUCCAUGGGUCAAUCUAUGGGUCCAUCAAUGGGUCAAGCCCAUGGGUCCAUCCAUGAGUCAGUCCAUGGGUCACCAGGGGGCGAUAUGUGGGUCAGUCCAUGGCUCAGUCUAUGGGUCCAUGGGUUCAUCAACGGUUUGGUCCAUGGGUCCAUCAAUGGGUCCGUGGGUCCAUCCAUGGGUCAAUCCAGUCUAUGGGUCCAUGGCUCCAUCAAUGUUUUGGUCCAUGUGUCCAUCCGUGGGUCCAUCCAUGGGUCGUUGGGGGGGCGAUAUGUGGGUCAAUCUAUGGGUCAGUCUAUGGGUCCAUGAGUCCAUCAACGGUUCGCUUCAUGGGUCAAUCUAUGGGUCCAUGGGUCCAUCCAUGGGUCAGUCUAUGGGUCCGUGGGUCCAUCUAUGGGUCAAUCUAUGGGUCAGUCUAUGGGUCCAUCCAUGGGUCAAUCCAGUCUAUGGGUCCAUGGCUCCAUCAACGUUCUGGUCCAUGUGUCCAUCCGUGGGUCCAUCCGUGGGUCGUUGGGGGGCGAUAUGUGGGUCAAUCUAUGGGUCAGUCUACGGGUCCAUCCAUGGGUCAGCCCAGUCUAUGGGUCCAUGGGUCCAUCAAUGGUUUGGUCCAUGGAUCCAUCUAUGGGUCAAUCUAUGGGUCAAUCUAUGGGUCAGUCUAUGGGUCAAUCUAUGGGUCAAGUCCAUGAGUCCAUCCAUGGGUCCAUCCAUGGGUCAAUCUAUGGGUCUGUGGGUCCAUCCAUGGGUCAAUCUAUGGGUCAAGUCCAUGAGUCCAUCCAUGGGUCCAUCCAUGGGUCAAUCUAUGGGUCUGUGGGUCCAUCCAUGGGUCAAUCUAUGGGUCAAGCCCAUGAGUCCAUCCAUGGUUCAAUCUAUGGGUCAAUCUAUGGGUCCAUGUGUCCAUCCGUGGGUCGCUCCGUGGGUCGGGGUUGGUUGUGGGUUGGUUGUGGGGUGGAGGGGUGACAUGUGGGGCGAUGUGUGGGGCGACGUGUGGGGCGCCGUGUGGGUCCAGCCCCCCACGUCUCACUCCUCGCCGUGGGGCCAGCGCAGGCACCACUCGCAGGCGUUUUGGAACAUGCGCAACCAGGGGGCCGGGGUUGGGGACCCCCGCGCCGUGGGGCAGGAGGACCCCGACCCCCCACCCCCACCCCGCGCCGUGGGGCGGCCCCACGCCGGGGGCCACCAGCCCCACUGCCAUGGGGUGACCCCCCGCUCGGGGUGGGGCAUGAGGGCCAGGUGGCGGCCGCAGGGGGAGCAGAGGGCGGCGGCGCCCCCCCCCGAGCCGUUGGGGUUCAG